UUAAAUUAUUUUUAAUAUUUAUAAUAUAAGAAUAAUGGAAUAAAUUGUCAUUUGGCUGUCAUUUAACAAUAUUAAAUUGAGUUACAGCGGAAUAAAAAGUAAAUUUAUUAUAAUCAAGUAAUUAAGAGUACUGUAAAACAGCAAAAGAAAGCGAAAUACUGCUGUUUAUUGAGAAACAUAUACUAAAAUGAAAUGUGUAUAACAAUUACAAAUCAUAUGACUGACGUGGAUCAUGGCUGAUAUGGAUGACUUCCAUUUGAGUAUGAUGAAUAUUGAAUAUGUUAUUUUGAGGUUUGAAACUUGUUGACAGUCUGGUUUCCAGAAGAUGUUGCUAACUGUUAGAGCAAGAAAAAUGUUAGCCAAAUUUGCAUGUCGUUCAUAAGGAAGCAUCACAAAGUAUAAGAAUCGAAUAUAUAAAAAUAGUAUAGAGAAAAGGAAUUAUGUUUCCAAAACUUUGAGAAAAUUUGUAAACUUUCAAUUACAUAUUUCAAAAGCGGUUCCAAAAAUACUCUUCAAUAAUUUUUGUAUCGAAUAAUUGAAUAUCAGAUGAAUUUGAAGUUGAAAUAUUUGGAGCUUAUAUUAUUAUCACAAAUUACUGAUAGUGCCUUAUGAGAUGACUAAGAAUAUUAAAUGAAGUAAAAAAUUCAAAUAUAGUAGACGAUGGCUCUAUUCGGAAAACCUUAUAAAUCAUCUUGUUAAGCUUGAAUAUGAAAAUGGUUUUGGGUGAUUUUGAAGACCGAUAAUAAUUCCGCCUAUUAUUUCCUAACUUAUAUUAUUAUUAUUGCUAUUAUUUGGAUUCAAGGAUUCAGUUAAGAGUCUUGGAAAAUUUAAUAAAUUUUCCUUCCUUUGAGAUAAAAAUGUUGGCCACUAAUGUUUUUUGUCGAAUAAUCAUAGCAUCAGAUAAAUCAGAACAUCAUUGUAUAAAGAUCGGAAAAAUUUCGUGGACGAGAUUUAUAAAUUAAAAAAUAUUUUUUGAAUUAUAUAAAAAUAAAAGAAUAUUU